rnacentral:rRNA from 1 species
UGCUAAGUUUGAUGGCGACCGGCGCACGGGUGAGUAACACGUAUCCAACCUGCCGAUAACUCGGGGAUAGCCUUUCGAAAGAAAGAUUAAUACCCGAUGGCAUAAUAGAACCGCAUGGUUUGAUUAUUAAAGAAUUUCGGUUAUCGAUGGGGAUGCGUUCCAUUAGGCAGUUGGUGGGGUAACGGCCCACCAAACCUUCGAUGGAUAGGGGUUCUGAGAGGAAGGUCCCCCACAUUGGAACUGAGACACGGUCCAAAAUCCUACGGGAGGCAGCAUG